rnacentral:rRNA from 1 species
GACGUAGGGCGCGAGCGUUGUCCGGAUUUAUUGGGCGUAAAGAGCUCGUAGGCGGCUUGUCGCGUCGACUGUGAAAACUUGGGGCUCAACCCCAAGCUUGCAGUCGAUACGGGCAGGCUAGAGUUCGGUAGGGGAGACUGGAAUUCCUGGUGUAGCGGUGAAAUGCGCAGAUAUCAGGAGGAACACCGGUGGCGAAGGCGGGUCUCUGGGCCGAUAUUGACGCUGAGGAGCGAAAGCGUGGGGAGCAAACAGG